GGUCCGGUGGUGAAACUGGUAUACACGCAGCACUUAAAAUGCUGUCCCUUAUAAGAGGGGUGUGGGUUCGAAUCCCACCCGGACCA
rnacentral:tRNA from 1 species